rnacentral:rRNA from 1 species
GUCUUUUUGAAAAUAAUUUAAAGUCUAACCUGCCCUAUGAAAUUUUAAAUGGCUGCAGUAUUUUAACUGUACAAAGGUAGCAUAAUAAUUAGUUUCUUAAUUAGAAACUGGAAUGAAUGGUUGGACGAGAUAAUUUCUGUCUCUAAUUUAAUAUUAUAGAAUUUUAUUUUUAAGUGAAAAAGCUUAAAUUUAUUUAAAAGACGAGAAGACCCUAUAGAGUUUAAUAAUUAUAUUAAAUUAUUUUUUUUUAGAAUUUUUAUUAAUUUAAUUUUAUAUUUUAUUUUGUUGGGGUGAUGUAAAAAUUUAAUUAACUUUUUAUUUUAAAAAUCAUUUAUUUAUGUUUAAUUGAUCCAUUUUUUAUGAUUAAAAGAUUAAAUUACCUUAGGGAUAACAGCGUAAUUUUUUUUUAGAGUUCUUAUUAAAAAAAAAGAUUGCGACCUCGAUGUUGGAUUAAAAUUUAUAAUUGGUGUAGUAGCUAGUUUAUUAAGCCUGUUCGACUUUUAAAAUUUUACA